CAGCGCCACGAGUGGUAACCGCGAUUAUUGGGCCUAAAGCAUCCGUAGCCGGCUCUGUAAGUUUUCGGUUAAAUCUGUAUGCUCAACAUACAGGCUGCCGGGAAUACUGCAGAGCUAGGGAGUGGGAGAGGUAGACGGUACUCGGUAGGAAGGGGUAAAAUCCUUUGAUCUAUUGAUGACCACCUGUGGCGAAGGCGGUCUACCAGAACACGUCCGACGGUGAGGGAUGAAAGCUGGGGGAGCAAACCGGAUUAGAUACCCGAGUAGUCC
rnacentral:rRNA from 1 species